AUUACGGUCAACUGAAAAAAUGUUAAUUCAAUGCGAAUCUAAACUAAUCCCAUCCUUUUCGACUUUCCUUCUGCAAAUUCAUUGAAUAUUGUGGAAUAUAUUUGUAAAUGUAUUUUCACCUCAGAAAGUCAUCGUCUUCCUCUCGCUUUCUCCAAUUUUUUUUGCAGCUCCUCCUCCGAAAUCUGGCGAUGUCGUGCUCUCUCCGGUGUAGAUCGAUGUUUUGCACCAGAGCUUCUCUCCGAUCAUCUCUGCGUUCCGCCGAACAUCGCCCUCUUCUUUUACAAUACAAUGAUAUUAGAUCAACGAUUAAUCAUUAAUUUUGAUUAUACAAUUGGAAGUUUUGGAUACCAUCGUUAUGAAUGUUUUGUUGAACUUCUGCAUUUUUUUCAUUUUUUAUGUUGCACCUAAAAAUUAAAUAUCGUAUGUUGCAAUCUAGGUCAGAAACUAUGAUUUGUUUGAGGCACAAAUUAUAUAUUUGUUUUAAAUUUUUUU